UACGUAGGGUCCGAGCGUUGUCCGGAAUUACUGGGCGUAAAGAGCUCGUAGGUGGUUUGUCGCGUUGUCCGUGAAAUCCCACAACUCAAUUGUGGGUCUGCGGGCGAUACGGGCAGACUGGAGUACUGCAGGGGAGACUGGAAUUCCUGGUGUAGCGGUGGAAUGCGCAGGUAUCAGGAGGAACACCGGUGGCGAAGGCGGGUCUCUGGGCAGUAACUGACGCUGAGGAGCGAAAGCGUGGGGAGCGAGCAGG
rnacentral:rRNA from 1 species